GCAAUAAUAGCUUAAUAUUAAAGCAGUGGUCUUGUAAGCCAAAGAGUGAAUAAAAAAUUCUUAUUGCU
rnacentral:tRNA from 1 species